rnacentral:rRNA from 1 species
AGCGCAGGCGGGAAACUAAGCGGAUCUUAAAAAGUGCGGGGCUCAACCCCGUGAUGGGGUCCGAACUGGUUUUCUUGAGUGCAGGAGAGGAAAGCGGAAUUCCCAGUGUAGCGGUGAAAUGCGUAGAUAUUGGGAAGAACACCAGUGGCGGAGGGCGGCUUUCUGGACUGUAACUGACGCUGAGGCUCGAAAGCUAGGGUAGCGAAG